GCGGGGGUCGCCAAGCCAGGUCAACGGCGCUAGGUUCAGGGCCUAGUCUCGCAGGAGUUCGUGGGUUCGAAUCCCAUCCCCCGCACCA
rnacentral:tRNA from 4 species